rnacentral:misc_RNA from 1 species
AGAGAGAGAGAGAGAGAUAGAGAGUCAGGGAGACAAAGCAUAGAAGAUGGUAAUGGUGCUUCUGCUUGGUGUGAUUGUGCUGCUGGUUGGUGUGAUUGUGCUGCUGGUGGUGGAAGGUCCAUGAUCAAAUAUGUGGAGGUGUGAGUCAUAUAUAGACGAAGGUCUUGCAAGGACAGAUUUGAGUGAAAAUAUAUUGGUGUUUUCAUUUCAAAAUCGAGAGAUAAACCAAAUAGCAUCGGUAGAUUUAGGCAGGUUGUUCAAAUCAUGGAUGCCACGCGGACCAAUAACAACUUAAUUUAGAGGGGUGGCAUUAAUUUUUGACUCAUUCUCUCUUCCUCGUCCUUGGUACUAUCCUAAAGGUUGUUUUUUUAUGCAGCUCAAUCAGGACCAUAAGUGUGAAAUGGAUUCCCGCCAUAUAUCCAGCUGCCCCUCUCUUCCUGCCUUCUCUCUGGCUUUAUGGA